UUAAACAAUUUGAAAAGAAAAGUACAUUUAGGGAGUCUUCUCAGAGAGCUUGCGUUGGUGGGAGCAGGCAAGAAAGAAUAAAUGGAAAAUGGUCUUUGAAUGGAGUAAACGAGCUUUAGUAAGUUUACUACGGGUCCACCCGUUACAGUGGCACAGUUUACAAAGUGUAAAAGGAUUUUGUGUACUGUUUGAGGCAUGUUUAGCAAUAAUCAUGCAAAAUAAGGUGGUAACACGAUGAAUUUAGAUCGUCCUUAAA
rnacentral:ncRNA from 1 species